CCUGGCGGCCAUAGACCACUGGAACCACCUGAUCCCAUCCCGAACUCAGACGUGAAACGGUGGCUCGCCGAUGAUAGUGUGGGGCUUCCCCAUGUGAACGUAGGUUACCGCCAGGGCCUUAUACCCAAAACC
rnacentral:rRNA from 1 species